rnacentral:rRNA from 1 species
UACGGAGGGGGCAAGCGUUGUUCGGAUUUACUGGGCGUAAAGGGCGCGCAGGCGGCGGAUCAAGUCAGAUGUGAAAGCCCCGGGCUUAACCUGGGAACUGCAUUUGGGACUGGUUUGCUAGAGAUCGGGAGAGGAGAGUGGAAUUCCCAGUGUAGAGGUGAAAUUCGUAGAUAUUGGGAAGAACACCGGUGGCGAAGGCGGCUCUCUGGACCGAUACUGACGCUGAGGCGCGAAAGCGUGGGGAGCAAACAGG